AUUGAACGCUGGCGGCAUGCCUUACACAUGCAAGUCGAACGGCAGCACGGGAGCAAUCCUGGUGGCGAGUGGCGAACGGGUGAGUAAUGUAUCGGAACGUGCCCAGUCGUGGGGGAUAACGUAGCGAAAGCUACGCUAAUACCGCAUACGAUCUAUGGAUGAAAGCGGGGGAGCGCAAGACCUCGCGCGAUUGGAGCGGCCGAUAUCAGAUUAGGUAGUUGGUGGGGUAAAGGCUCACCAAGCCGACGAUCUGUAGCUGGUCUGAGAGGACGACCAGCCACACUGGGACUGAGACACGGCCCAGACUCCUACGGGAGGCAGCAGUGGGGAAUUUUGGACAAUGGGCGCAAGCCUGAUCCAGCAAUGCCGCGUGCAGGAUGAAGGCCUUCGGGUUGUAAACUGCUUUUGUACGGAACGAAACGGCGAGCUCUAAUACAGUUUGCUAAUGACGGUACCGUAAGAAUAAGCACCGGCUAACUACGUGCCAGCAGCCGCCGUAA
rnacentral:rRNA from 1 species